AGUAGGCAUCUGUCUUGUGUAGCUGCUUGGGUUGCUUCAAACCCCAGAAGUCGUUUCUCUGUGUCUGGAAGCAACCAGCCCGACAUCCGGGUGCUGGAUCCCUGCUCUCCCAGCGUCCGUCCAUGAUCAAGCGUAGCGCUGUGCGGUGCUGGGCCUGUGGCCGCCUCCUUCUGUCUUCAUACAGCCUUCUUUCCAGGUGCUGUCGUUCCGACGUCCUUCCUACAAAGACAGCAAGCACUGGAUCAGGGCCACCCUCACCUCGGAUGACCCCAUCCCACCAUGAUCACCCAAACGCCCUAUUUCCACAUACAGUUCCUUCCCAGCGCUCCCAGUGCACUGAGUCAUGCGGCUUCCAGGCUCACCAAAGCUGCUGCUGGGAGCGGGUCCUGCUGGAGCUGCUCUGGAGGUGGUUCCCGCUAUUCCCCAGCCAGGCGGACUCACCCCAGGAGGGACGCAGGGGCCAGCGAUGUCACCAUGAUGGAACAGGAAGCAGGAGCCCAGGUGACCAGGGUGAAGCCCCCUUGGGUCCAAAAACACCUUGGAUGACAGAAAGAAGGCGACCAUGCAUUCUGAUGGAGCAGUGACCUGGCCAAAGUGACACCAAGCCAUGCUCUGGCCCUUCGAACCAGACAGGGCCACCCCAGUGUUAAUAGGUUCUAGCCUGGUCGCACGCCUGGCCCUGGGAGGAGGAGGAAGAGGAAGAGGAGCUCCCUGAAGUAGCAGAGCUCUCAGUGUUUGGCUGCUUGCAUUUCUUGACAAAGGAAAUUUGUUGGGCUUAAGUCGCCAGGGUUUGCAUCUGGAUCCGAUGAUGUUUGGCUCGGGGCCGAGCAGAGCCGGCUGGGCCUCCAUGUAAUUAACUUAAGUGCUCUGAAGAUGAAAGCUUGUUUGCCUGAUCCUGGAUUACUGGGAGCACCUUGAAGGUGGGCAGGGUGGCCAGGCGAGUUAUCUCCUGCUCUUGAAGUCUCCACGAUACUGUGGUGGACAGUGGAAAUCAGGAAGUUUAGGCAUGUUGGAAUUUAUUAAAUUUGCCGUAAAAAGAAAAAAAAAAAAGAUUCUGGAGACCAGUGCAAAGAGGUUAAGUGGAAACAUAACUUUACGUAAUGAAGUGGUUAAUCAUAUUUUGAUUUAGAAACACUAAUAAGCUGGCCUGAUUUUUGAGCUUCCAGCUUCAGCAAUAGAGCAGAGACAUUCAUUUCCUAGUUGGGUGUACUUUCUGGGCCUUUCUUCCAGGUAUGCUGCUUCCUUGUCUCCUUUUCCCUCCUCCCUCCUUCUCCACCUCUCUUCCCUCCCUCCACCUACUGAGGAAGAGAGCUUUGAUCCUAGAUGCUCUGGGGCUUGGGGGAAGCAGGGUGGGGGGGAUUCCUACAGGUGAUUUUUCGGCCUGAAUUUCACUGUGACAGCAAUGAUUUAUUUUAACUACUAACCCAGGAAAGCAGGCGCCACCAGGAUGAAUACCUCCACUAGCCCCUAGCAGACUAAUUUUGCUGUUUAUGAAUCACUAAUAUGCUUGGGGGAGGUACCAUUGUAGAUAACUACGAGUCAGACGAAUCAGACCCUGAGCCAAGACCUCAUGGGGGACAAACAGUUCCACAUGGGGCGACGCCCAGCCAGCCAUCGAAGAGUGAAGCACAACACAUGGGGUCCAGACCACCGCCCCACCUCCGAGGCCACGGAGGCUACUGGCAGAUGAAACACUUUCAUCUCUCCCAGGGAGAUAAACAGGCCGGUCUGGAUAGGCCUCUUUAUUUACAAAAGAAAAUUAAAUCCGUUUUAACACUUGCACCGUUCAUGGGAAACACAUGUUGCCUGAUAAUUGUUUUGAACUCCUUUCCAGCCGGGCUGCCCUGCAUUGGGCUGCUCUGGCGUUUUUUCACCGUGAGAGAUAGCCAUGGAAUUUGCCAGGAAUUUCUUCCCAAUUCCAGAGGAUCCAAGAAGGGAGCAUUCCUUGGGCAACCUGGCAGAGAGCUCAGUUCCCUUCCGGCCUCCCACACCACUUACCCUGGGGUCCUUAUGGGGCGGAGGGGGCUGGAAUGGAUCAGGGACUCGCAGCCUGAUAGCCUGCCUCCUGCCUGGCAUUUGUGGAGAAACAAAUGACAGGCUGGAUGUCCCUCCCCCCACCACCACCAGUUCCUGGUCCAGUUUUAUAGCUGCAAGGAGGUGUCACUCCUAGCAGCCCUAGACCUGUGACUUCCUGAUGAUCCUGGGGGCUGGGGGCCCUGGGGAGCUUGUUAAUCGCAGGCAUCUUAGGUCAGCUGGGGCUGGAGAGGCUGUUGAGCCUCAGGCCUCAGUAUUCGAAACUCAAGCCGACUCUGCCCUGAGCAGAGGGUCCGACCGGCUCCACAGGUCUUGUCGGGACUUUUUUCCUCUUGAGGGCACCUUGCUUGAGGGUGGCAGGACCAGAGCCGCUUCCCCCCACCUCUCUGAGUCAGGAGGCUGAGAAGGGGUUGCAGCCCCUCUCCCACAGGGGCCCAGGCUCAGCCCCAGACUGGCUCUGCUGAGGGCCCAGGUGGGGUGACAGGGAGCGCUGGGUCCCCAUCUGCUGCUCCCUUACCCCGGAGUGCUCUUCCCUUCAUCUCUCCUUCUGAAUUACAGUUAUUUCCAGCGCCUCUCUCUGGGCAGCCGCCUGUCCCCCAGCCCCUCCCAGUGCCAGUACCGUAGGCCCCUCCCUCUCCACACCCUCAUUCAGGAGGAGGUCACGGCCGGUGGUGCAUGUUCGAAUGAAAAGAUGUAGUACCGUGAAAGACACAUUGCCAUCAGCCCCCUCCAAGGCCUCCCCUCGCUUCCUGCACACUGGUCCCCUCAUCCUGGCCACUUUCUGCAGCAGCUCCGGAGUCCUCUUUCCUGACUGUCUUCAGUUGCACUGUGGAGGCUGCCUUGAUGUCAGUCGAUUCAAAACAUUUCCCUUUCCUGGUCAUUUUGCCUUUGGGAAGAGGCAGAAGUCGCACGGUGCCAGAUCCAGUGGAUAAGGUGGAUGGGGACACAGGGCGUCGCAGUGUCGCGUUUUUAUGAGACCGCCCUUCCAUUGGAUGGCACUCGGCAGCAGCAUUCACUAGCUGAGAUCACACCUCAUAAAGAUACUUGUGAAAGAGCACGUCCGAGACUGCUUCAGAA